AGAGUUUGAUUAUGGCUCAGGACGAACGCUAGCGAUAGGCCUAACACAUGCAAGUCGAGGGGCAGCACAUGAAGUAGCAAUACGGAUGGUGGCGACCGGCGCACGGGUGAGUAACGCGUAUGCAACCUGCCUACAACAGGGGAAUAACCCGUUGAAAGACGGACUAAUACCCCAUAACACAGGGAUCCCGCAUGGGAAUAUUUGUUAAAGAUUUAUCGGUUGUAGAUGGGCAUGCGUUUCAUUAGCUGGUUGGUGAGGUAACGGCUCACCAAGGCAACGAUGGAUAGGGGAACUGAGAGGUUUAUCCCCCACACUGGUACUGAGACACGGACCAGACUCCUACGGGAGGCAGCAGUGAGGAAUAUUGGUCAAUGGACGCAAGUCUGAACCAGCCACGUCGCGUGAAGGAAGACGGCCCUACGGGUUGUAAACUCCUUUUGUAAGGGAAUAAAGUGCAGUACGUGUACUGUUUUGCAUGUACCUUACGAAUAAGGAUCGGCUAACUCCGUGCCAGCAGCCGCGGUAAUACGGAGGAUCCGAGCGUUAUCCGGAUUUAUUGGGUUUAAAGGGUGCGCAGGCGGGAGAUUAAGUCGGCGGUGAAAUUUUGCAGCUCAACUGUAAAAGUGCCUUCGAAACUGGUUUUCUUGAGUGUGGAUGAAGUAGGCGGAAUUUGUGGUGUAGCGGUGAAAUGCAUAGAUAUCACGAGGAACUCCGAUUGCGCAGGCAGCUUACUAAACCAUAACUGACGCUCAUGCACGAAAGGCGUGGGGAUCAACAGGAUUAGAUACCCUGGUAGUC
rnacentral:rRNA from 1 species